UACGUAGGGUGCAAGCGUUGUCCGGAAUUAUUGGGCGUAAAGAGCUCGUAGGCGGUUCGUCGCGUCGGCUGUGAAAACCUGAGGCUCAACCUCGGGCCUGCAGUCGAUACGGGCGGACUUGAGUACUGCAGGGGAGACUGGAAUUCCUGGUGUAGCGGUGAAAUGCGCAGAUAUCAGGAGGAACACCGGUGGCGAAGGCGGGUCUCUGGGCAGUAACUGACGCUGAGGAGCGAAAGCGUGGGGAGCGAACAGG
rnacentral:rRNA from 1 species